rnacentral:tRNA from 1 species
GCCUGGGUGGCUGUCGGUUAAGCGUCUGACUUCAGCUCAGGUCAUGGUCUUGUGGUCUGUGGGUUCAAGCCCCACAUCGGGCU